GAUGAACGCUGGCGGCGUGCCUAAUACGUGCGAGUCGAGCGAAUGGAUUAAGAGCUUGCUCUUAUGAAGUUAGCGGCGGACGGGUGAGUAACACGUGGGUAACCUGCCCAUAAGACUGGGAUAACUCCGGGAAACCGGGGCUAAUACCGGAUAACAUUUUGAACAGCAUGGUUCGAAAUUGAAAGGCGGCUUCGGCUGUCACUUAUGGAUGGACCCGCGUCGCAUUAGCUAGUUGGUGAGGUAACGGCUCACCAAGGCAACGAUGCGUGGCCGACCUGAGAGGGAGAUCGGCCACACUCGCACUGAGACACGGCCCAGACUCCUACGGGAGGCAGCAGUAGGGAAUCUUCCGCAAGGGACGAAAGUCUGACGGAGCAACGCCGCGUGAGGGAUGAAGGCUUUCGGGUCGUAACACUCUGUUGUUAGGGAAGAACAAGUGCUAGUUGAAUAAGCUGGCACCUUGACGGUACCUAACCAGAAAGCCACGGCUAACUACGUGCCAGCAGCCGCCGUAA
rnacentral:rRNA from 1 species